rnacentral:rRNA from 1 species
AUUGAACGCUGGCGGCAUGCCUUACACAUGCAAGUCGAGCGGCAGCGCGGGGGCAACCCUGGCGGCGAGCGGCGGACGGGUGAGUAAUACAUCGGAACGUGUCCUUUCGUGGGGGAUAACCAGUCGAAAGACUGGCUAAUACCGCAUGAGAUCUCACGAUGAAAGCGGGGGACCGCAAUGCCUAGCGCGAUUGGAGCGGCCGAUGUCGGAUUAGCUAGUUGGCGGGGUAAAAGCCCACCAAGGCGACGAUCCGUAGCUGGUUUGAGAGAACGACCAGCCACACUGGGACUGAGACACGGCCCAGACUCCUACGGGAGGCAGCAGUGGGGAAUUUUGGACAAUGGGGGCAACCCUGAUCCAGCCAUGCCGCGUGUGUGAAGAAGGCCUUCGGGUUGUAAAGCACUUUCGGCCGGAACGAAAUCGCGCGGGUUAAUACCCAGCGUGGAUGACGGUACCGGAAGAAGAAGCACCGGCUAACUACGUGCCAGCAGCCGCGGUAAUAC